rnacentral:lncRNA from 1 species
CUCAUUUUUUCUCUUGCUGCCACCAUGUGAGAAGUGCAUUUCACCUCCUGCCGUGAAUGUGAGGCCUCCUCAGCCAUGUGGAACUGUAAGUCCAGUGAAACCUCUUUUUCUUCUCAGUCUCGGGUCUUUAUCAGCAGCGUGAAAGCGGACUAAUACACUGGUCAUCCUGAUAAGGUUUUAGGGAGCCCGAUCUUUUCAUAAUGUAAAGCAGAAGACACCUUCUAAUGAGAGGCUGAGUAGGAUAACACUAGUGGGAGUUUGGAGAUCUUAUGUUAAGCUGAUAGAAAGCAGCUCUUGCACACCACUGGCUGUAAGAACUGCUUCACCUACAUUCUGAGCCUAACAGAGGUACACAAGACAAAAUCCAAAGAAGUGUGCAUAUAUUUUGUUACAGUGAGCAUUUUUUACCCUAACUUAUCAGUGUUCCUUUGUUAAUUUAAGACAGAGUGUGCAAAAAACAACAACAACAACAAAAAAGGUAUAUGGGAAUAAUCUGAAGAGACAAGCUACCUUCUGGUGUUUGGUGUUUGUCACAGAGUAUCCGGUUUUAAAAGGUCUUGACUUUUGCCCUUCUUUAAAUUUUUCAUUUCAGGAAAGAUCCUAUAAACUUGCUGCAUCUCAAAAUAAGUAUAUUUGGAAAGUCAUUUUGGUUUUAAGAAAACGAACUUCACUGGAAAAAAAAAAGAAAAAAAAAAGUAGGCCUAUUCUUUACCUAAAGAAACCUGAGAACAUAUUUUAUUUUGAGAAAUAUUCUUUGCUUUAACUUUAAUCCAAAUAUGAGAACAUUUUAUGUUAUAACUACACUGUAGCACUUAAUUAAAAAAAAUUAAAUCUUCUACAAAAGAAUUAGAGAAAAUACAAAAAAUAGAGCACUUAAUAGUUUAGAUUGCAUUUACACCAAAAUAAAUAAGGGUGAUGAAAAGAACAAUUCAAUUUAUCAAGAACUGUAGAAGGUGUGAGAUUUUAUCCUAUAUGUAAGCUAACAAAUUAGCCUGCCAUAGUUUCAAAUAGAUGCUGGCAGAAUACAUGAGAGUCCUGGAUCAGAGACAAAUAACUUUAUUAUUCAUGGCCCAGCAAGAAGUAUAAGAUUUAUGUUUGCAUAGAUUCCUCUUAACCCCCAAGAUCCAUAGGGUGAGAUUCUUUUCUGUCAAAGCUGAGGAACCUUGAGCUUAGGGAGCCUGAAUAUUUUAUAAUGGGCUGUAAGCAAACCUGCCCAUCCUUUACCUCAUAAAGGAAGAUUAUCUUUGUAAUACUGGACAGCACACAGGCACACACUCUGAGCCAGAUGGAGACACUAUAUCUUCUGAAGCUGUUCACUAUAGCAACAUCUUUAAAAAUGUAGAACGAACGGAAGCUGCCAGUGCUUCUGAUAGCAAGAUGAGCAGAAAUGUGAGAGAUACACAGAUACUUGUCUCCUAAAACAUGAAUGUGAACAUUUGAAGUACUGCCUGGAACACCCAUUCAAUUUUUUUUCAUUGGUAAAAGUGUGGUAUUUAUUACUCAAGACAGUUAGCUUUAGAGUCAAAUUCCAAUUUUGAUGGAUUUUAAGUAAUUGUAGUAAUUAUCUAUGUAAUGUGUUAUCCAAAAAUUGAAAAGAAAAUUAAAGAUACCAGUGAAUAUAACAACAUUCAGACAAAAGGAAUUUUAGAAUUUUAAAACCCUAGAAGUCCACCAUACUGAAGAAUGAUUUUCAUGGAUGUUUAUUUUUACAACUUGAUCUAGAUAAGUGUUGGCAAAGUACAGCCCAUGGGCCAAAUCUGUCCUACUACCAGCUUUUAUAAACAACAUUUUAUUGGAAUACAGGUACAUUCAGUUGUUACUUAUUGUCUAUGGCUGCUCUUGCACUAGAAUGACAGAGUGAAGUAGUUGUGACAGAGAAUGUAUGGUCUACAAAAGUGGUCCCCAGCCUUUUUGACACCAGGGACUGGUUUCAUGGAAGACAAUUUUUCCGUGGACAGGGUAGAAGGGGAACAAUAGGAUGAUUUCAGGAUGAAACUGUUCCACCUCAGAUCAUCAGGCAUUACAUUCUCAUAAGGAGCAUACAACAUAGAUCCACCACAUGCACAGUUCACAAUAGGGCUUGUGCUCCUAUGAGAAUCUAAUGCUGCCACUGAUCUGACAGGAGGCAGAGCUCAGGUUGUAAUGCUCGCUCACCCACUGCUCACCUCCUGCUGUGCGGCUUGGUUGCUAACAGGCCAAAGACUGGGUUGGGAACCCCUGGUCUACAAAAGCAAAAAUAUUUACAAUCUAGCUGCUUACAGAUGUCUGUUGACUCCUGAUCUAAAUUCCACAAGAACCAUAUCA